CCCGGUGGAAAUAAUGGUGAUAUCUUACUAUUUAAUGAUAUCAUCAGAGCUCAAGCCCUGAUUGAAAUUCCUCUAAAAGGACGCUCCUAUACUUGGAGUAACAUGCAGACAGACCCAUUGCUGGAGCAGCUGGACUGGGUGUUUUCUUCCUGCCAUUGGACACAAACCUUCCCAAACACCGUGGUUACAUCAUUGGGCAAGCCGGUGUCUGACCACUCACCUUGUGUGGUAAACAUCGAAACAAAAAUACCAAAGAGCAAAAUAUUUCGCUUUGAGAAAUACUGGAUCAACCACUCGGGCUUUCUAGAUAUAGUUCAGCAAUCAUGGAACAAGCAGUGCCAUGCAAAAAACAGUGCAGCUCUCUUGUGCAGAAAGAUGAAAACACUAAGAUAUGAUCUUAAAAAUUGGAGUAAA
rnacentral:rRNA from 1 species